AAUUUCCAGGCCUAUACUUCCAACAGAAAUGUACAAACCUGCAAUAAGUCUUUUUGUUUUAGUUUCCACAGGAGACAAACAAUUCAAUAUUAUAGAGACGUGAUAAAGAUAAACGAUGAUAUGCAACUUUUUACUAACUCUUUACAAGUCAGAAAGCAGCAUAAUUACAACCUGAGCUGUACCUGGUCUAAAUUAGGACAACUACUACAUAGUCAAUCUGGCUUUCAAGUUAAACAAGAAGCAAUAGGAGUUUUGAAGAGAUCAUUGGAUUUAAGGGUUAGUUUUCUUGGUCCCACUCAUCCUCACAUCUUUGAAAUCCAGUGGCAAGUUGCUAUUUACUUUCCAAUCCAUAGAGUAAUUCAUACAGGUACAAUUACUUCUUGGAAAAUCUUGACUUUUUUUUCAGUCUACCGAAGGAAGUUGAAAAAAAUUACCAUGAUAGUGGACCAAGAUUUGGAUAUAGAAGUCAGAUGGAAGAAAGUCCCCAUUGUGCCUUACAUUUGCAGAAGAAAAUUUCUCAGGACAGACUUAAGAACAAAACUCAGAGUUGCUUUACUGUGAGAUCUCCAGUUAGCAGUUUUACUAAACUUCAGAGGACCAUAAGCAUGGAAUCACUUCAGUCCAGAAAUUCAACUGAAGAUGCAUUGAAAAAUAUCUCAAGAAAAAGUGAAAGUAUUUUUAAAGUUGUUCGUUGCAGUACUAAAUGUGAUGAUAUUAAAAUAUAUCUCUCUGACAAUGUCACAUUAUCAAAUCAACGAGAGAGCCUCAGUUCAUUAACAAUAGCAAAUGACAAUUUCACAAACCAUUUAGCUUUGUCCAAAGUAAGUAAAGUCUCAUGGUCUCCAGGCCAAAGACCUGUUUCACUGUGAAGCCAUGAUAAAAGUUGUAUUGUCUGUCAGCCUAUUACUAUCUGUUAAACAUCCAUAUCAGGCCCUUAUAGUACAAUUAGUUCCCUGAAUUCCUCAUUCAGACCAGACACCAGGUCAGAAAAAUGUCAGCUCUUUCAUAAAGUAGCAUAGUGCCAUGUGCCUAGGAGGUACCCAACUCCUCAAAACUCCCUUCCCCCUAAAAGACAUCAAAUUAGGAAAAAAUGUUCAUAAAACUGAAUUAUUAAGUAGGGAGGGAGGUUCUGAAAUAUAAAUAAAAAAAUCUGGAAAACCA
rnacentral:lncRNA from 1 species